rnacentral:rRNA from 1 species
AUUGAACGCUGGCGGCAGGCCUAACACAUGCAAGUCGAACGAGCGGCGGACGGGUGAGUAAUGUAUGGGAAACUGCCUGAUGGCGGGGGAUAACUACUGGAAACGGUAGCUAAUACCGCAUACCAUCAGAUGUACCCAGAUGGGAUUAGCUUGUUGGUGGGGUAACGGCUCACCUAGGCGACGGUCCCUAGCUGGUCUGAGAGGAUGAACAUCCACACUGGGGCUGAGACACGGUCCAGACUCCUACGGGAGGCAGCAGUGGGGAAUAUUGCACAAUGGGCGCAAGCCUGAUGCAGCCAUGCCGCGUGUAUGAAGAAGGCCUUCGGUUUGUAAAGUACUUUCAGCGGGGAGGCGUUACCGACAGAAGAAGCACCGGCUAACUCCGUGCCAGCAGCCGCGGUAAUUC